AAAUUUCACUGUUUCAGGUCGUAAAAUUAUUGAACAGGUACAAUGAAUAACAAUGGACAAAACCUGUUCAACAACUUUAACAAGGCGAAAAAAAAGUCGAAUAGUGAAGUCUGUAAACAAUACUUUUUUAUUCUGAGCAUGCAAAUUAAAGAUUAUGUUAUAUAUUUUACAAUAAUCACAUUCGCAGAACAAAAACAUACAUUUUGAGAAUCCCAG
rnacentral:lncRNA from 1 species